UCUCCGUAGGUGAACCUGCGGAGGGAUCAUUACAGAGUUCAUGCCCUACCGGGUAGAUCUCCCACCCUAUGUUAUUAUUACUUUGUUGCUUUGGCGGGCCGUUAGGCUCCGGCCCGACUACCGGCCCCGGCUGGUAAGCGUCCGCCAGAGGACCCAAAACCCUGAAUAUUAGUGUCGUCUGAGUACUAUAUAAUAGUUAAAACUUUCAACAACGGAUCUCUUGGUUCUG
rnacentral:misc_RNA from 1 species